rnacentral:pre_miRNA from 1 species
UUAACUCUAUUUUUUUUGAAGUAGGAACGUUUGCCUACGUUUUCCGCUAGGGGCGCUGUUCCAACUGUAUACAAAUUAGAGUUG